UGCAAGUCGAACGAGUUCUGAUUAUUGAAAGGUGCUUGCAUCUUGAUUUAAUUUUGAACGAGUGGCGGACGGGUGAGUAACACGUGGGUAACCUGCCCUUAAGUGGGGGAUAACAUUUGGAAACAGAUGCUAAUACCGCAUAAAUCCAAGAACCGCAUGGUUCUUGGCUGAAAGAUGGCGUAAGCUAUCGCUUUUGGAUGGACCCGCGGCGUAUUAGCUAGUUGGUGAGGUAACGGCUCACCAAGGCAAUGAUACGUAGCCGAACUGAGAGGUUGAUCGGCCACAUUGGGACUGAGACACGGCCCAAACUCCUACGGGAGGCAGCAGUAGGGAAUCUUCCACAAUGGACGCAAGUCUGAUGGAGCAACGCCGCGUGAGUGAAGAAGGCUUUCGGGUCGUAAAACUCUGUUGUUGGAGAAGAAUGGUCGGCAGAGUAACUGUUGUCGGCGUGACGGUAUCCAACCAGAAAGCCACGGCUAACUACGUGCCAGCAGCCGCGGUAAUACGUAGGUGGCAAGCGUUAUCCGGAUUUAUUGGGCGUAAAGCGAGCGCAGGCGGUUUUUUAAGUCUGAUGUGAAAGCCCUCGGCUUAACCGAGGAAGUGCAUCGGAAACUGGGAAACUUGAGUGCAGAAGAGGACAGUGGAACUCCAUGUGUAGCGGUGAAAUGCGUAGAUAUAUGGAAGAACACCAGUGGCGAAGGCGGCUGUCUGGUCUGUAACUGACGCUGAGGCUCGAAAGCAUGGGUAGCGAACAGGAUUAGAUACCCUGGUAGUCCAUGCCGUAAACGAUGAAUGCUAGGUGUUGGAGGGUUUCCGCCCUUCAGUGCCGCAGCUAACGCAUUAAGCAUUCCGCCUGGGGAGUACGACCGCAAGGUUGAAACUCAAAGGAAUUGACGGGGGCCCGCACAAGCGGUGGAGCAUGUGGUUUAAUUCGAAGCAACGCGAAGAACCUUACCAGGUCUUGACAUCUUUUGAUCACCUGAGAGAUCAGGUUUCCCCUUCGGGGGCAAAAUGACAGGUGGUGCAUGGUUGUCGUCAGCUCGUGUCGUGAGAUGUUGGGUUAAGUCCCGCAACGAGCGCAACCCUUAUGACUAGUUGCCAGCAUUUAGUUGGGCACUCUAGUAAGACUGCCGGUGACAAACCGGAGGAAGGUGGGGAUGACGUCAAAUCAUCAUGCCCCUUAUGACCUGGGCUACACACGUGCUACAAUGGAUGGUACAACGAGUUGCGAGACCGCGAGGUCAAGCUAAUCUCUUAAAGCCAUUCUCAGUUCGGACUGUAGGCUGCAACUCGCCUACACGAAGUCGGAAUCGCUAGUAAUCGCGGAUCAGCACGCCGCGGUGAAUACGUUCCCGGGCCUUGUACACACCGCCCGUCACACCAUGAGAGUUUGUAACACCCGAAGCCGGUGGCGUAACCCUUUUAGGGAGCGAGCCGUCUAAGU
rnacentral:rRNA from 1 species